GAUGAACGCUGGCGGCGUGCCUAACACAUGCAAGUCGAGCGAUUCUCUUCGGAGAAGAGCGGCGGACGGGUGAGUAACGCGUGGGUAACCUGCCCUGUACACACGGAUAACAUACCGAAAGGUAUGCUAAUACGAGAUAAUAUGCUUUUAUCGCAUGGUAGAAGUAUCAAAGCUUUUGCAGUACAGGAUGGACCCGCGUCUGAUUAGCUAGUUGGUAAGGUAAUGGCUUACCAAGGCGACGAUCAGUAGCCGACCUGAGAGGGUGAUCGGCCACAUUGGAACUGAGACACGGUCCAAACUCCUACGGGAGGCAGCAGUGGGGAAUAUUGCACAAUGGGGGGAACCCUGACGCAGCAACGCCGCGUGAAUGAAGAAGGCUUUCGAGUCGUAAAAUUCUGUCCUCAGGGAAGAAGAAGUGACGGUACCUGAGGAGGAAGCCCCGGCUAACUACGUG
rnacentral:rRNA from 1 species